UGCUGUGAUGAGAUCGCUAUAGGAAGUGCCGUCAGAGGCGAUAACUGACGAUAACUGUUCCUGGCUGACU
rnacentral:snoRNA from 1 species